UGGGGAAUUUUGGACAAUGGGCGAAAGCCUGAUCCAGCAAUGCCGCGUGUGUGAAGAAGGCCUUCGGGUUGUAAAGCACUUUUGUCCGGAAAGAAAUCCUCUGGGUUAAUACCUCGGGGGGAGUGACGGUACCGGAAGAAUAAGCACCGGCUAACUACGUGCCAGCAGCCGCGGUAAUACGUAGGGUGCAAGCGUUAAUCGGAAUUACUGGGCGUAAAGCGUGCGCAGGCGGUUUUGUAAGACGGAUGUGAAAUCCCCGGGCUUAACCUGGGAACUGCAUUCGUGACUGCAAGGCUAGAGUAUGGCAGAGGGGGGUAGAAUUCCACGUGUAGCAGUGAAAUGCGUAGAGAUGUGGAGGAAUACCGAUGGCGAAGGCAGCCCCCUGGGCCAAUACUGACGCUCAUGCACGAAAGCGUGGGGAGCAAACAGGAUUAGAUACCCUGGUAGUCCACGCCCUAAACGAUGUCAACUAGUUGUUGGGGGAUUCAUUUCCUUAGUAACGUAGCUAACGCGUGAAGUUGACCGCCUGGGGAGUACGGUCGCAAGAUUAAAACUUAAAUGAAUUGACGGGGUCAUAGCUGUUUCCU
rnacentral:rRNA from 1 species